rnacentral:lncRNA from 1 species
CUUUUCUCUAGAUUACAGAAAUAUUUUGUACUUCUCUCCCCUUCAAUUUGCCAUUUAGCUUUUGCUCUCAUUAUUGCCCCUUUUAUUCUAGAUUCUCUGAGCGACCUUAACUGAAGUUCAAUACGUGUAAUUUCUUCCCUUUUAUCAUUGAUAUUUUCAUUAUUGUUCAAAUUGUUCAAUUGACUUUCUAGUUCUUGUUCUUCCCUACUGCGUUCUUUCUUUUUAAAAGAUGAAUAAGAAAUUGUUUUUUCCUCGUAUCAUCAGUUUUAAAGUUUCCCAAAACAGUUGGUCUGGAAAUGGAAAAUUCUAUUUCUUCCCUAUUUUCAGAAUCAACUAUUUUAUAUUGAUCAAUACAAUCAGCAAUACAAGUUUUAGUAUUAGUAAUAAAUUCUUUGUCGUAUAAUAAAGCAUUGUUAAAUUUCCACGUCCCUUUGCCUUUUUCAUUUGUAUUAAAUUGAAUGGACAGAGAUAUGGGUGAGUGAUCAGACCUAUAUGCAACACCAAUAUCACUCGAGGUUAUCAGUGGUUGAAAAUCAGAUGAGACAAGGAAGUAGUCCAGUCUUGCCUGCUUCUUGUUAGGUCCUCUCCAGGAAAACCUCU